AGCGAACGCUGGCGGCAGGCUUAACACAUGCAAGUCGAGCGGGCACUUUCGGGUGUCAGCGGCGGACGGGUGAGUAACGCGUGGGAACGUGCCCUCUGGUUCGGAAUAACUCAGGGAAACUUGAGCUAAUACCGGAUACGCCCUUUUGGGGAAAGGCUUGCUGCCGGAGGAUCGGCCCGCGUCUGAUUAGCUAGUUGGUGAGGUAACGGCUCACCAAGGCGACGAUCAGUAGCUGGUCUGAGAGGAUGAUCAGCCACACUGGGACUGAGACACGGCCCAGACUCCUACGGGAGGCAGCAGUGGGGAAUAUUGGACAAUGGGCGAAAGCCUGAUCCAGCCAUGCCGCGUGAGUGAUCAAGGCCUUAGGGUUGUAAAGCUCUUUUAUCCGGGACGAUAAUGACGGUACCGGAGGAAUAAGCCCCGGCUAACUUCGUG
rnacentral:rRNA from 1 species